rnacentral:lncRNA from 1 species
UUUCUCGCCAUGGUGGGUACAAACUGACAUCAUGGCAGCACUGGUUGUGAAGAACUCGAUGGCUGGAAUGUUUUGUAACAAAGCUAGAGAGGGUGCCCAUGGUUGAAGAAAAUCAUAAAUUAGCAAAUCCGGGUGUAGGGUUUUGAGGAUGUUGGAGAAGUUAGGGCUUGCCCUGUCGAAGGCGGUUUUGAGAGUGGACAUGAGGUGGGGUGGGAGGCCAUUGGUAGUGUGGUAAUGAGGUGGGAGUUCAGGCAAGUCGUCAUAUGGAAGAUGUAGUUGCACGAGUUCAAUGCAACGAGAGUAUUUUUCAGAGAGUUGUGGCUUGAUGGAUCUGAGAUUUACAGGUGUGGAACAAAAAUAGAUGUGAAAAUUUCUGUUGGUCAGCUUCUUUGCUAGCUCUAGGUAGGGAGAUAUGU